CCUACGGGUGGCAGCAGUGGGGAAUAUUGGACAAUGGGCGAAAGCCUGAUCCAGCCAUGCCGCGUGUGUGAAGAAGGCCUUCGGGUUGUAAAGCACUUUCAGUGGGGAAGAAAGCCUUGGGGCUAAUACCCUCGAGGAAGGACAUCACCCACAGAAGAAGCACCGGCUAACUCCGUGCCAGCAGCCGCGGUAAUACGGAGGGUGCGAGCGUUAAUCGGAAUUACUGGGCGUAAAGCGCGCGUAGGCGGUCUGAUAAGCCGGUUGUGAAAGCCCCGGGCUCAACCUGGGAACGGCAUCCGGAACUGUCAGGCUAGAGUGCAGGAGAGGAAGGUAGAAUUCCCGGUGUAGCGGUGAAAUGCGUAGAGAUCGGGAGGAAUACCAGUGGCGAAGGCGGCCUUCUGGUCUGACACUGACGCUGAGGUGCGAAAGCGUGGGUAGCAAACAGGAUUAGAUACCCUGGUAGUC
rnacentral:rRNA from 1 species